rnacentral:rRNA from 1 species
AAUGAACGUUGGCGGCGUGGAUUAGGCAUGCAAGUCGAGCGGGACUCCGCAAGGGGUUCAGCGGCGAAAGGGAGAGGAACGCGUGGAUACCUACCCCCAGACCUGGGAUAGCUACGGGAAACUGUAGGUAAUACCAGAUAAUGUCUCCGGACCAAAGGUGUGAUUCCGUCCGGGGAGGGGUCCGCGACCUAUUAGCUAGUUGGCGGGGUAAUGGCCCACCAAGGCAAAGAUGGGUACUGGGUGUGAGAGCACGACCCAGCUCACUGGGACUGAGACACUGCCCAGACACCUACGGGUGGCUGCAGUCGAGAAUCUUCGGCAAUGGACGCAAGUCUGACCGAGCGACGCCGCGUGCGGGAUGAAGGCCUUCGGGUUGUAAACCGCUGUCGGAGGGGAUGAAUGGCGUGAGGGUAAUCUCUCACGUUUGACAGAUCCUAGGAGGAAGUACGGGCUAAGUUCGUGCCAGCCGCCGCUGUAAAAC